AGUGGCGCACGGGUGAGGAACACGUGGGAACAUACCCUUUGGUAGGGAAUAAUGUCUGGAAACGGACACUAAUACCCUAUAAUGACUUCGGUCCAAAGAUUUAUCGCCAAAGGAUUGGCCCGCGCAUGAUUAGAUAGUUGGUGAGGUAAUGGCUCACCAAGUCUGCGAUCAUUAGCUGGUCUGAGAGGAUGAUCAGCCACACUGGGACUGAGACACGGCCCAGACUCCUACGGGAGGCAGCAGUGAGGAAUAUUGGACAAUGGAGGAAACUCUGAUCCAGCCAUGCCGCGUGAGUGAAGAAGGCCUUAGGGUUGUAAAGCUCUUUCAAUAGUGAAGAUAAUGACGGUAGCUAUAGAAGAAGCUCCGGCUAAAUUCGUGCCAGCAGCCGCGGUAAUACGAAUGGAGCAAGCGUUGUUCGGAAUCACUGGGCUUAAAGCGUGCGCAGGCGGACUUGAAAGUCAGGAGUGAAAUCCCAGGGCUCAACCCUGGAACUGCUUCUGAAACUCCAAGUCUAGAAUCCGAUAGAGGUUAGGGGAAUUCCUAGUGUAGAGGUGAAAUUCGCAGAUAUUAGGAGGAACACCAGUGGCGUAGCGCCUAACUGGGUCGGUAUUGACGCUCAUGUACGAAGCGUGGGGAGCAACAGGAUUAGAUACCCUGGUAGUCCACGCCGA
rnacentral:rRNA from 1 species